CCCCUAGUGUGUAGGGAAUGGAUGAGAAAGUAGGAUAACAUAGAACUGUUGUGAACGGGGGAUCGAUGAUAAUCAGCAUGGGCACGA